UAUUUCGCACGUACAAUCAUUUCGCCAGUUCUCUGCACGAAUACCGAGAGAAAACGAACGGGUGUUCUUCGUGUUCUUCAUAAUCAAACAAGGAUUUGAAGGCGUUAUUGGAAUCCGAUGGAGGCGUAUAAAUAGUCAAAACGAAGCUCUCGACGCGUAGAAUCUAUUGUAGUUAUCCAUACCAGUGCUGAAUCGACAGGUUUUUACUAAGUAAGCUUUUUAAUUUCGAAUUUAAAUGAUUUUAAAUAUGAAUUUUUGCAAACGUGCUUGUUUGAUUGAUUUGAUGCUUCCAUGUUGUAGAGCGUCUCCUGCCAUUCGUUUUCAUAUAUUAUAUGCCGAUUUUUGACUUCCGUAACAUAUAGAAAAGUUAGUUUGAUUCUUGAAGUUGUGUUCUUGGAGGUUAUGAAUGUUCUUAAUUGGAAAAGAGGCGUUUUUAAUCUGGGGAUUCUGCGUUGUAUUGGUUUAUACCAUUAGGAAGAGCGUGUCAAGAGGAAUAUGUUCAUAUAAUCGGAUUUUGUGGAGGAUUCACGGUUGAGCUUAUUGGAGUUUAAGAACACCGGCGGUGUUCUUGGACUUUCCGGCCAAAAUCCGGCCAAACUACAUGCUAUUUACUGAUUCUGAUUAUGGGUAUGGGUUCCUGGUAGUAUGAACUUUAAAUCUGGAGUUUAUGGGGUGUGUAGGACGUCGGAAAAUCGAUUUCCGGCGAGGUAGUAUGGUGGCCGACGGAUAAUUUCCGUUUGGUCACCAACGUUAUGAAGAUGAUGAAGGUUUGACACUGGAGUUUGAUUGUUGACAUUCUAGCUCUCGAACUUUUGAAAGUUUACACCUGGCACCCUGCCAGACAAUUUCAGUAUUUUUACAAUUUAAACCUUUUCAAAUUUAUUUCAAAAAUUCAUUUUAGUGAUUUAUUUUAAUUUCAAAAAUAGUUUCUAAUUACUUCUUUAUUCAAAAAUAAAUCUGAAAUUAGUUUAUUAAUUAAAUUUAAUUAGUAAUUAAUUAUUUUAAUUGGUCAAUUAAUUUUAAUAUUAAUUGAUGGAUUAUUUUAAUUAAUUAUUAAUUGAUUUUAAUUGAUUAAUUAAUUAGAUUUAAUGAUUUCUUUUGAUUUAAAAAUUUCGAGAAAUAGUUUCGAGCUUUGGAUUAUUUUUCUAAAAUAUGUUUGAGGCUCGUUAAAUGAUUUCAAAUGAUUUCGGAUCCGAUCUUGAGCAAUCGGAUUUGAUUAUUUAUUCAAAAAUGGAUUCUUUUACCUGUUUUAAUUCCGAAAAAUGUUUAGAAAUUCCAGAAAAUUCGCGAAAAAUCAUUUUUAACUUGAGACUUGAUUGGAUAUCGAUUGGGACGGGAAACCUUAUGUGCAAUGUGUUGUCUGCUGUCUGUGUGAUAUGUUAUGUGCCGAUAGGAGAGUUAGAAAACGGUUUUGAUCAUAUCUUUUGAUCCGUAAUUCAGAAUCAGGUGAAACGAAAGGGAGAUGAAAGCUUAUGGAAUCUAUUUUAAUAUGACAAGAUAAUAUGAUCGAGUCUAGAAUGUGAUUAUAUGUCAUGUAAUAUGCAAUAUGUGUCAAUAUGUGACUUGUCUGCUAUGAAUUGAUGAUUACGUGAUAUACGUGGCUAUUCCUAAUAUUAUACAUAUGUGAUAAAUGACUUAUAUGACAUAGUGUCGUGAAUUGAUUGAUAUUGGAUAAGAAUAUAUGGAUAGUGAUUGAAUUGUGUUGGUUGAUGGUUGAUUGAGAUAGGAUAACAGGUGGAUAGUCUUAUACAUAGACGAGACGAUGUCGGAUUUUCGAUAAAGAUUUAUAUGAUAAUUGAUUUGUGAUAUGUUAUGUGGAAUAUGAUUGACUAUAUGUUAGAGUCAAAGCAUGAUUAUGUGAUAAGUGAUAUCUAAUAGGUUUAAAGGGUUAUAUAAGGGGUAUCGAUAUACGUGAUGUGUAUGUACAAUAGAUUGUUUAGUAAUUAUAGUAUUGUCUUAUUCUCGUUAAGGAUUUGGACGAGACGUAUACGAUCGAAGACAUUCAGAAGGUCAAACGAUGAUGCAAAGCGAAUGAGAAAUGAAUCGAAGAGACGAAGUCGUAUUACGAAUAAAGUAUAGCCAGAGAUGGUCUAGAGACUAUGAUAUGCAUAGGUUGUGAGUUGGAAAGAUGAGAUUAAGCUGUGUGUGGAAGCGGAUUUAAGGCAAGUUUUCCUAAAUCUUUCCUCAUAUAUAUAUUGCAUGUUCUGAUUAUUCUGUCCAGAUUAUGGUAUUGCUUAUACUGAAACCCUUCUCAAAUAAACUCUUAUUUCUGAGAAUGAAACCCAUGAUUGUUUUCUACCUUUAAGUCUUUGAAAAGCCAAACACCUAAAUACUCUCAAUUUCUAUUACAAGUAUUCUGAUCCAUUCUUUCCAAUCCUCAAGAUUUUAAAAAUAUCAGCUUUACAAAUUAAUUCGAAGUUCAGACCGUCAUUGAAGCAUGGGUUGCUCAGUGAUAGUUAGAACCUAGAAUGAAUUGGGAUCUUCUUGAUUAUUCAACCCGCCAUUGUCAUGCUGGUUUAGCAGGCUAAAUUCAGUUGCUUAGCCGAUAAUGGAGGAUACUGAAUAGUUAGGAAUUUCCUGAACUAUGAUUUAUCAAAAGACAGACUGUGGUUUAUGAAAUGUUGAUCCUCAAAAGUUGAUUUGGAAUAUUUCUGUUGUUGAUAAUGAUUAUGAUUCUGUUCUGUUGAUUGAAUUGUCUAUUGAUUUAAAUUGUUAGAAUUGGAUUAGUUUUUAUAAAAUAUGUGGACCAGAUUCGUGGUCAGACCAGAUUCGUGGUCAAUUAUAGGCCAAUGUGUGCCUUGGAUCCAGUAUAGAGAACAGGGCUGUGUGCCAUGUUCGGGGUUAGUGCGUGACUGAUCAGCAGCCUAACCUUUGGUUUUUAAGUAAAAAUGUGAUGAAUCCAAUUCGACAAUUCUUCUGUAAGUUUGAAUUCUGAUUUCAAUUGCUGAUAAGAAUUGUGAAGUUUUCAAUUACAUAUCCUGAACCCUGAUAAGAUAAUUCAGGACUAUUGUUGCUUAUAUACGCUUGCUGAGCAUUGUUGCUCACCCUUGCUAUUCCUUUUUAACCAUUUCAGAAAAGCUUAAAGAUGAAUUGCUUGAUUGAGAUUGCGAGUAUGGCUAAGGCUAAGCGAGGAGUCAGAGUUAUAGAAUAUCCAGAGGACAAGUGGAAUGUCCAGGGAGAUUGUCAAGGUUGGUUCUAGAUAGAAUUGUAUUGAUGAGAUUCAGUUGUAAGUCAUAAUUGAAAUAGAUUGACAGUGAUUCUUCUUAUCGAAGAUGAUCUGAGGUUGUAAGACAUUGUUUAUUGAUAGUGGUUGAUUCUAAUUUCAAUACUGUAACCUGGAUGCGAUCCUGUUUUUAGGGGGUUAAAGUGUUUUCUUUUAAAUCUUUUACUAAAGUUUUCAGGUUUUAAAUCCUUUGAUUUUAUUACCUUUUUCAAAAAUACAGGUUUUCAAAAGUGUUUUAGAAUGAUUUUGUGUGGUGACGUCAGAAUCCAGACCCCCGGAUUCUCGGGCUGUCACAGUUGGUAUCAGAGCAACAGGUUAUAAGUUAUUGAAAUUAGAAUAUAGAUUGUGGUCAUAAGUUUUAUAGAGAAGAAGUUUUCAGUGACCUCAUAUAGAGGUAUUGUGAGACUGUUUGGGGAUAGUCUAGAGAGGUAAUCGGAAUAGAAUCUAGAUAGUUAAUUAAGUUGAGGGUAUAUGUUUAGAUAGAUCAUGGUUCAUAAGUCUAGAAACUUGGUUUCUAGUAUGGGGACUGAUUGAGAUAGUGAUUUGUGAUAAGGGUCAGAGUUAGACCUAGUCAAAAGAGUAUUAAUAGUGAGAUUGAGUUAAGAAUGAUAAAGAUGCAUGGUUUGAAAAUGGUUUAUUGUUUUAACUGAGAUGUGAAAGAAUGGGUGUAGAAUAUGAGAUAUGUUGGAUUGGAAAGAGAGUUUUGUAGACAGGUGAGAAAUGAAUGAUAGAAAGUAUGUGGAAUUGAGUCUAGUUAUCAGAAGUGAUAUUAUGAGUAGGAUAGGACGCUAGUCUUCAACGACGACGCUUCAAGCUAACCGGGAAUUCAUCUGAUUUCAAGAUGAGCCAGCUUCAUUGCGAAUGAUAAUGUCUACAAGGAAAUCUUACGAGGCUAUCACGAGUUAACAUGGAUCGAUUAUCGAGAACGCCGAGAAGAAGACAUACAUUGAACAACGAUUUAUUGGAGCAGAGCAAGAAUUUGAGAAGACCUUGGCAAUAUCUUUUUCCAACAAAAGCUUAUUUUAAUUCUUUUCAUCAUCAUUGAGCCCUUAUACCUUUCCUACAAAAGUUUUAAUAGAUGAGGUUUUCCAGUUCUCGAAUGACGAGAGAACAUUAGUAUUGAUUAUUGAAAUAAGUGGUAUUGAUUCUUGGUGUGUGAUAAAAGUUGUUGUGAGAAGACAAUGAUAUUUCUUGAUAUUCCUUGACAUUCCGUGAUAUUCUUUGAUAUACCUUGAUAUCUCUUGAUAUUCUUUGGUACUUUUUGAGAUUCCUUGAUAUUCCUUCCAUCUGAUUGGGAUGAACAACCCUAUUUAUAGGGGACACAAGGUAUACCUGUCUGUGUGAUAGGAAUUGGAUGGGACGCCAUCACUUGUGUGUGUUGUGAUUACAAGAAGGUUAACAACCUUUAGUAGUGUCUAAUAUGGGCACGCAACACUAAGUUCGUUUGGUCAUAUUGAUCUCUCAGUCACUUUCUUAUUUAAACAUGACCUAUUCUGAAAACCUUUUGCUCCAUUCUAAGUUCUUAAAGAUUGAAUCUAAGAACUGAGCUCUGAAAUAGUGAAAGUUUUAAUACUCUUAUUUGUUUCAAAGUCAAAGGUAUGCCAAGGUCGAACGAAGGUGGAAGGAUGAUAGUACGAAGGGUGUACAUUUUCGUUCUCUUCGCGGAUUCUGAGGACAGAAUCCUUAUAAGGAGGGUAGAUUGUAACAUCCCAGAUUUUCAGAAUUAGUUUAUUAAUAUAGAAAUAAUUUUUGAAUAUUACUAUUGGCUUUAAUUGAUUUCUUCUGAUAAGAUGAACGGUCUGUGUAAUAUGAGUAUAAUUGUGAUGUGAAUUAUAAGGUUUAAACCGACUAUGCAUUCUUCUCCUGUGAUUUCGUAUAUUUUUACGACCCGGAUUUUUCAAAAAUUGUGUAUCGUUAUGAAAGUUAUUUUCUUAGAAAGAAGGAAUAAAGUUUAAUAUUUUAUUCCAGUUUAAGGUAUUUUCAAAAUUUUAUUUUAUAUAAUUGAUUUUAAAGAUUUAAAGGAUGGCUAUCGUUACAUGGCUAAGUGUUGCAUGUGGAAUUGUGAGUUUAAUUAGUUAUGAUAAUUAAAUGUGAAUAUUGCAUGAAUUUGGUGUGAAUUGAUUUUCUGUAAUUGGUAAUUAUACGUGCCAGAACUGUGGGUUCAAUUAUUGAUAUUAUCAGAAUGAGUCAUAUGUUAUUUAAAUAUUUUCAAAUGAUUUAUAUACGGAUAUAUGAAUAUCCUUUCAAAACUCAUUUCAAAUAUUAUUUCUGAAAAUACAGAGAUUUGUUAUGCAAAAGUUAGAUGGUCGAUAUGUGAAGAUAUGUAUUACAUGAUUAAGUGUUACGUGUGUAAUGGUCGCGUAAUUAGUUAUGGUUAUUUUUGAAUAUUAUAUGAAUAUUUGGUAAAUUCUUUGAUAACUAGUUUUUUUAUUUUGAUUGCUUAUAUAUGUUGCAAUCACGAGUUUUCAAUUUUCAUAUUCUCAGAAUAGAAUAUGGAACAUUUGGGUAUUUCCCUAAUAAUUUAUGAGUAGUAUGUGAUAUUUAUAUGAAUAUUUGUGAGGUUUGUGUUAUCUGAGUUAUUGAAUUGACUGCUCAUAUGUGUUCGGAUUUGAGAUAUUUCAAUUUCUAUAUGAUCAGAAUAAAAUCUAGUUUAUUUAGAUAUGUUCAUAUCGAUUUUUGGAUUGCUAUGUGAUUUUAUAAUCGAUUUAUGGAUUUAAUUUCGUUUAAUUAUUAAUUAUAUUAAAAUAUUUAUUUAAUAUUUUAAACCCCGCGGGCGUUCGGGGAAAAAUUCGCCAUUAGGCUAUUUGGGACAUUCUGAGCAUUUCUCGUGUUUUAACUUUUUCAAUCCGGAGUACGGUUUACCCCGUAAAUGGUCCGGUACAAUUUUGUUAAUAUUUUUAAGGUUAAUGAUUAUCUGGUUGUAUAAAAAUACGUGAAGCAUAUUCCAGAGAAUAUUCCAAAGCAUAUUCAAGGAAUAUUCCAAAGCAUAUUCGAGGAAUAUUCUCUUAUCUUCUUCUAUAAAUAUCCUUUACCAGUUUAUUUCGCACGUACAAUCAUUUCGCCAGUUCUCUGCACGAAUACCGAGAGAAAACGAACGGGUGUUCUUCGUGUUCUUCAUAAUCAAACAAGGAUUUGAAGGCGUUAUUGGAAUCCGAUGGAGGCGUAUAAAUAGUCAAAACGAAGCUCUCGACGCGUAGAAUCUAUUGUAGUUAUCCAUACCAGUGCUGAAUCGACAGGUUUUUACUAAGUAAGCUUUUUAAUUUCGAAUUUAAAUGAUUUUAAAUAUGAAUUUUUGCAAACGUGCUUGUUUGAUUGAUUUGAUGCUUCCAUGUUGUAGAGCGUCUCCUGCCAUUCGUUUUCAUAUAUUAUAUGCCGAUUUUUGACUUCCGUAACAUAUAGAAAAGUUAGUUUGAUUCUUGAAGUUGUGUUCUUGGAGGUUAUGAAUGUUCUUAAUUGGAAAAGAGGCGUUUUUAAUCUGGGGAUUCUGCGUUGUAUUGGUUUAUACCAUUAGGAAGAGCGUGUCAAGAGGAAUAUGUUCAUAUAAUCGGAUUUUGUGGAGGAUUCACGGUUGAGCUUAUUGGAGUUUAAGAACACCGGCGGUGUUCUUGGACUUUCCGGCCAAAAUCCGGCCAAACUACAUGCUAUUUACUGAUUCUGAUUAUGGGUAUGGGUUCCUGGUAGUAUGAACUUUAAAUCUGGAGUUUAUGGGGUGUGUAGGACGUCGGAAAAUCGAUUUCCGGCGAGGUAGUAUGGUGGCCGACGGAUAAUUUCCGUUUGGUCACCAACGUUAUGAAGAUGAUGAAGGUUUGACACUGGAGUUUGAUUGUUGACAUUCUAGCUCUCGAACUUUUGAAAGUUUACACCUGGCACCCUGCCAGACAAUUUCAGUAUUUUUACAAUUUAAACCUUUUCAAAUUUAUUUCAAAAAUUCAUUUUAGUGAUUUAUUUUAAUUUCAAAAAUAGUUUCUAAUUACUUCUUUAUUCAAAAAUAAAUCUGAAAUUAGUUUAUUAAUUAAAUUUAAUUAGUAAUUAAUUAUUUUAAUUGGUCAAUUAAUUUUAAUAUUAAUUGAUGGAUUAUUUUAAUUAAUUAUUAAUUGAUUUUAAUUGAUUAAUUAAUUAGAUUUAAUGAUUUCUUUUGAUUUAAAAAUUUCGAGAAAUAGUUUCGAGCUUUGGAUUAUUUUUCUAAAAUAUGUUUGAGGCUCGUUAAAUGAUUUCAAAUGAUUUCGGAUCCGAUCUUGAGCAAUCGGAUUUGAUUAUUUAUUCAAAAAUGGAUUCUUUUACCUGUUUUAAUUCCGAAAAAUGUUUAGAAAUUCCAGAAAAUUCGCGAAAAAUCAUUUUUAACUUGAGACUUGAUUGGAUAUCGAUUGGGACGGGAAACCUUAUGUGCAAUGUGUUGUCUGCUGUCUGUGUGAUAUGUUAUGUGCCGAUAGGAGAGUUAGAAAACGGUUUUGAUCAUAUCUUUUGAUCCGUAAUUCAGAAUCAGGUGAAACGAAAGGGAGAUGAAAGCUUAUGGAAUCUAUUUUAAUAUGACAAGAUAAUAUGAUCGAGUCUAGAAUGUGAUUAUAUGUCAUGUAAUAUGCAAUAUGUGUCAAUAUGUGACUUGUCUGCUAUGAAUUGAUGAUUACGUGAUAUACGUGGCUAUUCCUAAUAUUAUACAUAUGUGAUAAAUGACUUAUAUGACAUAGUGUCAUGAAUUGAUUGAUAUUGGAUAAGAAUAUAUGGAUAGUGAUUGAAUUGUGUUGGUUGAUGGUUGAUUGAGAUAGGAUAACAGGUGGAUAGUCUUAUACAUAGACGAGACGAUGUCGGAUUUUCGAUAAAGAUUUAUAUGAUAAUUGAUUUGUGAUAUGUUAUGUGGAAUAUGAUUGACUAUAUGUUAGAGUCAAAGCAUGAUUAUGUGAUAAGUGAUAUCUAAUAGGUUUAAAGGGUUAUAUAAGGGGGUAUCGAUAUACGUGAUGUGUAUGUACAAUAGAUUGUUUAGUGAUUAUAGUAUUGUCUUAUUCUCGUUAAGGAUUUGGACGAGACGUAUACGAUCGAAGACAUUCAGAAGGUCAAACGAUGAUGCAAAGCGAAUGAGAAAUGAAUCGAAGAGACGAAGUCGUAUUACGAAUAAAGUAUAGCCAGAGAUGGUCUAGAGACUAUGAUAUGCAUAGGUUGUGAGUUGGAAAGAUGAGAUUAAGCUGUGUGUGGAAGCGGAUUUAAGGCAAGUUUUCCUAAAUCUUUCCUCAUAUAUAUAUUGCAUGUUCUGAUUAUUCUGUCCAGAUUAUGGUAUUGCUUAUACUGAAACCCUUCUCAAAUAAACUUUUAUUUCUGAGAAUGAAACCCAUGAUUGUUUUCUACCUUUAAGUCUUUGAAAAGCCAAACACCCAAAUACUCUCAAUUUCUAUUACAAGUAUUCUGAUCCAUUCUUUCCAAUCCUCGAGAUUUUAAAAAUAUCAGCUUUACAAAUUAAUUCGAAGUUCAGACCGUCAUUGAAGCAUGGGUUGCUCAGUGAUAGUUAGAACCUAGAAUGAGUUGGGAUCUUCUUGAUUAUUCAACCCGCCAUUGUCAUGCUGGUUUAGCAGGCUAAAUUCAGUUGCUUAGCCGAUAAUGGAGGAUACUGAAUAGUUAGGAAUUUCCUGAACUAUGAUUUAUCAAAAGACAGACUGUGGUUUAUGAAAUGUUGAUCCUCAAAAGUUGAUUUGGAAUAUUUCUGUUGUUGAUAAUGAUUAUGAUUCUGUUCUGUUGAUUGAAUUGUCUAUUGAUUUAAAUUGUUAGAAUUGGAUUAGUUUUUAUAAAAUAUGUGGACCAGAUUCGUGGUCAGACCAGAUUCGUGGUCAAUUAUAGGCCAAUGUGUGCCUUGGAUCCAGUAUAGAGAACAGGGCUGUGUGCCAUGUUCGGGGUUAGUGCGUGACUGAUCAGCAGCCUAACCUUUGGUUUUUAAGUAAAAAUGUGAUGAAUCCAAUUCGACAAUUCUUCUGUAAGUUUGAAUUCUGAUUUCAAUUGCUGAUAAGAAUUGUGAAGUUUUCAAUUACAUAUCCUGAACUUGUGAACCCUGAUAAGAUAUUUCAGGACUAUUGUUGCUUAUAUACACUUGCUGAGCAUUGUUGCUCACCCUUGCUAUUCCUUUUUAACCAUUUCAGAAAAGCUUAGAGAUGAAUUGCUUGAUUGAGAUUGCGAGUAUGGCUAAGGCUAAGCGAGGAGUCAGAGUUAUAGAAUAUCCAGAGGACAAGUGGAAUGUCCAGGGAGAUUGUCAAGGUUGGUUCUAGAUAGAAUUGUAUUGAUGAGAUUCAGUUGUAAGUCAUAAUUGAAAUAGAUUGACAGUGAUUCUUCUUAUCGAAGAUGAUCUGAGAUUGUAAGACAUUGUUUAUUGAUAGUGGUUGAUUCUAAUUUCAAUACUGUAACCUGGAUGCGAUCCUGUUUUUAGGGGGUUAAAGUGUUUUCUUUUAAAUCUUUUACUAAAGUUUUCAGGUUUUAAAUCCUUUGAUUUUAUUACCUUUUUCAAAAAUACAGGUUUUCAAAAGUGUUUUAGAAUGAUUUUGUGUGGUGACGUCAGAAUCCAGACCCCCGGAUUCUCGGGCUGUCACAAUGGUCAAAUGCAUAUAAACAUAUUCAAUUAUUUGGUGACUUGUUAAUUUGCACAACCACUUUGUGUUGGUCAAUCAAGCUUCAUAAGAUGGAUUACAUAUAUUGAACGGGAAAAAACAGAUGAAAAUAGAAAAUAUUGUCCAUCAGAUUUUAUGAAGGAUAUGUCCUUAAUGGGUCAAAUAUUUCACAAAAUAGCAAAUUGAUGCAAGGGUUGUUUAAAAUAGCGACGUGUCCCUUGUUGCCAAGAUACACCUGGUCUCGAGUGCUAAAGAUUAAAACCCAGUUGAGAGUGAAAUGACAUAUUAUGGUAUAAUCGAAGAAAUAUGAGAACUGGAUCACCAUGCAUUUAAAGCACCAUUGUUUUUGUGGAAAUGUGCAACAAAUGACAGAGGUAUUAAAGUUGAUGAACUCGGCUGUACACUGAACUUCACCCGACCAGGUCACAAAAAAGACAAAUUUAUCUAUAUAGACCUAGUGAGCCAAGUAUUUAUAUUCCAGAUCGAGUAGAUACUAGCUAAUAUGUUGUGCUUAAGUAUAUUAAUCGAGACGACAAUAAAUUCUACCAUGAAGAUGGUACGGGAGACACUAUAUUAGAUGAUCCCCCAUUUUGCUCCAAAAUCCCAGUGUGUGAUAUGUCUAAUGAUGAUAUUGGUCUUAGCAAUCAAAGAUCGAAUGUUGAAAGGAUUUGGUUGAAUAAGUGAUUUAGUAUUUGUGGUGUGUAAUUAUUUCAGCUAUGUGGUGAUAUAGAUUUGAAUCUCGUUCUAACUACUAGACUUGUUCUUGUUUUAUGAUAUUUUCAUUCUUGUUUAUUUAUGUCAAUAUUAUUAAAUUUAAAAUUUUAUUUCCAUCUACAUAUAUUUUGUGUACUUGUGAUGACUCAAAUACACUUGUCAACAUUACUUAUUUUUUUGGUUUAUAUGUUGUGGACUAAUUGGUUUAAUGGUAAUUUUACAGACUUUAGAAAAUGACAUAAAAGAAUCAGAAAAAAAAGUAAGAAGACAAUAACUGGAGAUGGCAACAACAACAUCGAGGCCAAUGAAGACAUGGAGAUGGAGGUCAAAGAAUCAAAGUGUCAAGCGCCAGACCUACCGUACCACCUAGAAGAAAUGAUAAAGGCAGCCUCGAUACCACGAGGCACAUUGAAUACUACUCAAUCUGUGGAAAAAAUUGUGGAGGUCCGCAAGGUGUGCAUGGUAUGUGUAAGGUGCUGGCAAGAAAAGCUCGUGGAAAGAAGCUGAAGAUUACAUACAAUGAACGAAGAGGUCCUAACAAAACAAAUAGGGCCAAGUUGCAAUCCCAUAUAGGCAUGUUGGCUAGAAAUAUGAUACGUAUCGAUCUUCCAGUUGGCCGAAAGUGGACUCUGAAUUAAAGAGAUGAUAUGGAACGAUGUUCAGAUAGUCUAUAAAUUUAUAAAUUAGUGAGAUAAAGGUUUAAAUAAUUGUUUGAUGAUGUGUACUUUAUUUUUUUCUUGGAUACAUUUGACAUAAAGAUAGAAAGUGAGAACUUUGUGCUUAAGUCUGCUCGUUUAAAUGGUCGAUUUUUUUAGUCC
rnacentral:lncRNA from 1 species